rnacentral:lncRNA from 1 species
AUGAAGAUUCCAUUCCAUUUGCCCAGGAGACAACUGGAUACAAUGAGGAGAAUGGCGUCCAGAGGGGAGAGGAUCAGCAAUGGAAUCUUCAUCAUUUUGGAAAGAAAGGGCUUACUUCCUGGCAACACCAACAGAAAAACAGCUCCUCCAAGGAAAAAGUCACUAUUAUCUCCCAGCUUCUGUGACCAGGAACUAGUGAGUCUCUUCAUGUCAUAUUCCUAGUUGCUACUACAGUAAAGGGAACAAAGCAACUGUUCAUCAAGGCCAUGGUCUGUCCAGCUGACCCACAGAUAUAUUAUUUUAGCACUUUGGCAAUAACCAUUUACAGAGUGUGAUUAGGUCACUGUUUACACAGUGAUGAAGGAAGUCGAAACAAAUUAAUUGUUCAAGAGUUGUCUUGGAAUACUAUGUGAAUUUCAGUUUAUUGACAGACGUUUAUUGACAAAUAUUUAUAGCCAAAACUAGAAGUUACCUACCCCCAAAUUCCUUCUCUACAAUAUCACCAGUUGCAGAUUUAUGGGGAAAGAAAGUAAAUAGAAAGUAAUUUAGCAUACAGAUGGCCAAAAAACACAUGAAAAGAUACUCAACAUGACUCAGUAUUAGGAACAGAACUACCAUAUAACCCAACAAUACCACUGCUGGGCAUACACCCUGAGAAAACCAUAACUGAAAGAGACACAUGUGCUCCAAUGUUCAUUCUAGCACUUUUUACAAUAGCCAGGAUAUGAAACAAUCUAGAUGUCCACUGACAGAUGAAUGAAUACGGAAAUUGUGGUAUAUAUAUCCAGUGAAAUAUUUACUAAGCUAUAAAACAGAAAGUCAGUCCUAAUGAGGUAGAUAAACCCAGAGCUUAUUAUACAGAGUGAUGUCAAGUCAGAAAGAGAAAGAUAAAUUUUGCAUAUUAAUGCAUGCAUAUGGAAUCUAGAAAGAUGCUACUGAUGAACCUAUUUCUUGGGCAGACAAGGAGACACAAACACAGAGAACAGACUUAGGGACGCAGUAUGGGAAGGAGAGAGUGGAACACCCAAAGGAUGAAAAAAAAGAACAGCUGGUAUAAGCAGCAGCAUGAAUGAAUCCCAAACUAUUAUGCUGAGUGAAGGAAGCAUGACACAAAGAGCAAAUACUGCAUGAUUCCACUUACAUGAAUCUCACAGGAAAGUUCAGUUUCAUCUCAAGCAACAGAAUGCACAUCAGUGAUUACGUGAGCCCAGGAAUGGGAAGG